rnacentral:lncRNA from 1 species
GAGCAGAUGACCAUCCUGUACGACAUCUGGAACGCGGGGCUGGACGCCGAGGACAUGCACUUCCUGCGCCUCACCUACGAGCGCCUGCUGCAGGAGGACAACAGCACCGACUGGCUCAACGACACCCACUGGGUGCACCACACCGAUAUCCCCGCCCCGGGGGCGUCCGGCGCUUGGAGAUAGGGUAUCACGAUGUCUGGGUGUUGGAGGACUGGGGUGUCCGGGGGUUGGGAGACGGAGCAUCAGGAUGUCCAGGGGUUGGAGGACUGGGGCGUCCAAGGGUUGGGAUAUGGGGUGUCAGGAUGUCCGGGUGUUGGAGGACUGCGGUGUCCGGGUGUUGGGAGACGGGGCAUCAGGAUAUCCAGGUGUUGGAGGACUGCGGUGUCCGGGUGUUGGGAGAUGGGGCAUCAGGAUAUCCAGGUGUUGGAGGACUGCGGUGUCCGGGUGUUGGGAGACAGGGUGUCAGGAUGUGUGGGUGUUAGAGAAUUGUGGUGUCCAGGUGUUGGGGGACUGGGGUGUCCGAGUGUUGGGAGACAGGCGGUCAGGAUGUCCAGGUGUUGGGGACUGUGUCCGAGUGUUGAGAGACAUGGUGUCAGGAUGUCUGGGUGUUGGAGAAUUGUGGUGUCCAGGUGUUGGAGGACUGCGGUGUCCGGGUGUUGGGAGAUGGGGCAUCAGGAUAUCCAGGUGUUGGAGGACUGCGGUGUCCGGGUGUUGGGAGACAGGGUGUCAGGAUGUGUGGGUGUUAGAGAAUUGUGGUGUCCAGGUGUUGGGGGACUGGGGUGUCCGAGUGUUGGGAGACAGGCGGUCAGGAUGUCCAGGUGUUGGGGACUGUGUCCGAGUGUUGAGAGACAUGGUGUCAGGAUGUCUGGGUGUUGGAGAAUUGUGGUGUCCAGGUGUUGGGAGACGGGGCGUCACGAUGUCCGGGUGUUGGAGGACUGCGGUGUCCAGGUGUUGGAGGACUGCGGUGUCCGGGUGUUGGGAGACAGGGUGUCAGGAUGUGUGGGUGUUAGAGAAUUGUGGUGUCCAGGUGUUGGGGGACUGGGGUGUCCGAGUGUUGGGAGACAGGCGGUCAGGAUGUCCAGGUGUUGGGGACUGUGUCCGAGUGUUGAGAGACAUGGUGUCAGGAUGUCUGGGUGUUGGAGAAUUGUGGUGUCCAGGUGUUGGGAGACGGGGCGUCACGAUGUCCGGGUGUUGGAGGACUGCGGUGUCCAGGUGUUGGAGGACUGCGGUGUCCGGGUGUUGGGAGACAGGGUGUCAGGAUGUGUGGGUGUUAGAGAAUUGUGGUGUCCAGGUGUUGGGGGACUGGGGUGUCCGAGUGUUGGGAGACAGGCGGUCAGGAUGUCCAGGUGUUGGGGACUGUGUCCGAGUGUUGAGAGACAUGGUGUCAGGAUGUCUGGGUGUUGGAGAAUUGUGGUGUCCAGGUGUUGGGAGACGGGGCGUCACGAUGUCCGGGUGUUGGAGGACUGCGGUGUCCAGGUGUUGGAGGACUGCGGUGUCCGGGUGUUGGGAGACAGGGUGUCAGGAUGUGUGGGUGUUAGAGAAUUGUGGUGUCCAGGUGUUGGGGGACUGGGGUGUCCGAGUGUUGGGAGACAGGCGGUCAGGAUGUCCAGGUGUUGGGGACUGUGUCCGAGUGUUGAGAGACAUGGUGUCAGGAUGUCUGGGUGUUGGAGAAUUGUGGUGUCCAGGUGUUGGGAGACGGGGCGUCACGAUGUCCGGGUGUUGGAGGACUGCGGUGUCCAGGUGUUGGAGGACUGCGGUGUCCGGGUGUUGGGAGACAGGGUGUCAGGAUGUGUGGGUGUUAGAGAAUUGUGGUGUCCAGGUGUUGGGGGACUGGGGUGUCCGAGUGUUGGGAGACAGGCGGUCAGGAUGUCCAGGUGUUGGGGACUGUGUCCGAGUGUUGAGAGACAUGGUGUCAGGAUGUCUGGGUGUUGGAGAAUUGUGGUGUCCAGGUGUUGGGAGACGGGGCGUCACGAUGUCCGGGUGUUGGAGGACUGCGGUGUCCAGGUGUUGGAGGACUGCGGUGUCCGGGUGUUGGGAGACAGGGUGUCAGGAUGUGUGGGUGUUAGAGAAUUGUGGUGUCCAGGUGUUGGGGGACUGGGGUGUCCGAGUGUUGGGAGACAGGCGGUCAGGAUGUCCAGGUGUUGGGGACUGUGUCCGAGUGUUGAGAGACAUGGUGUCAGGAUGUCUGGGUGUUGGAGAAUUGUGGUGUCCAGGUGUUGGGAGACGGGGCGUCACGAUGUCCGGGUGUUGGAGGACUGCGGUGUCCAGGUGUUGGAGGACUGCGGUGUCCGGGUGUUGGGAGACAGGGUGUCAGGAUGUGUGGGUGUUAGAGAAUUGUGGUGUCCAGGUGUUGGGGGACUGGGGUGUCCGAGUGUUGGGAGACAGGCGGUCAGGAUGUCCAGGUGUUGGGGACUGUGUCCGAGUGUUGAGAGACAUGGUGUCAGGAUGUCUGGGUGUUGGAGAAUUGUGGUGUCCAGGUGUUGGGAGACGGGGCGUCACGAUGUCCGGGUGUUGGAGGACUGCGGUGUCCAGGUGUUGGAGGACUGCGGUGUCCGGGUGUUGGGAGACAGGGUGUCAGGAUGUGUGGGUGUUAGAGAAUUGUGGUGUCCAGGUGUUGGGGGACUGGGGUGUCCGAGUGUUGGGAGACAGGCGGUCAGGAUGUCCAGGUGUUGGGGACUGUGUCCGAGUGUUGAGAGACAUGGUGUCAGGAUGUCUGGGUGUUGGAGAAUUGUGGUGUCCAGGUGUUGGGAGACGGGGCGUCACGAUGUCCGGGUGUUGGAGGACUGCGGUGUCCAGGUGUUGGAGGACUGCGGUGUCCGGGUGUUGGGAGACAGGGUGUCAGGAUGUGUGGGUGUUAGAGAAUUGUGGUGUCCAGGUGUUGGGGGACUGGGGUGUCCGAGUGUUGGGAGACAGGCGGUCAGGAUGUCCAGGUGUUGGGGACUGUGUCCGAGUGUUGAGAGACAUGGUGUCAGGAUGUCUGGGUGUUGGAGAAUUGUGGUGUCCAGGUGUUGGGAGACGGGGCGUCACGAUGUCCGGGUGUUGGAGGACUGCGGUGUCCAGGUGUUGGAGGACUGCGGUGUCCGGGUGUUGGGAGACAGGGUGUCAGGAUGUGUGGGUGUUAGAGAAUUGUGGUGUCCAGGUGUUGGGGGACUGGGGUGUCCGAGUGUUGGGAGACAGGCGGUCAGGAUGUCCAGGUGUUGGGGACUGUGUCCGAGUGUUGAGAGACAUGGUGUCAGGAUGUCUGGGUGUUGGAGAAUUGUGGUGUCCAGGUGUUGGGAGACGGGGCGUCACGAUGUCCGGGUGUUGGAGGACUGCGGUGUCCAGGUGUUGGAGGACUGCGGUGUCCGGGUGUUGGGAGACAGGGUGUCAGGAUGUGUGGGUGUUAGAGAAUUGUGGUGUCCAGGUGUUGGGGGACUGGGGUGUCCGAGUGUUGGGAGACAGGCGGUCAGGAUGUCCAGGUGUUGGGGACUGUGUCCGAGUGUUGAGAGACAUGGUGUCAGGAUGUCUGGGUGUUGGAGAAUUGUGGUGUCCAGGUGUUGGGAGACGGGGCGUCACGAUGUCCGGGUGUUGGAGGACUGCGGUGUCCAGGUGUUGGAGGACUGCGGUGUCCGGGUGUUGGGAGACAGGGUGUCAGGAUGUGUGGGUGUUAGAGAAUUGUGGUGUCCAGGUGUUGGGGGACUGGGGUGUCCGAGUGUUGGGAGACAGGCGGUCAGGAUGUCCAGGUGUUGGGGACUGUGUCCGAGUGUUGAGAGACAUGGUGUCAGGAUGUCUGGGUGUUGGAGAAUUGUGGUGUCCAGGUGUUGGGAGACGGGGCGUCACGAUGUCCGGGUGUUGGAGGACUGCGGUGUCCAGGUGUUGGAGGACUGCGGUGUCCGGGUGUUGGGAGACAGGGUGUCAGGAUGUGUGGGUGUUAGAGAAUUGUGGUGUCCAGGUGUUGGGGGACUGGGGUGUCCGAGUGUUGGGAGACAGGCGGUCAGGAUGUCCAGGUGUUGGGGACUGUGUCCGAGUGUUGAGAGACAUGGUGUCAGGAUGUCUGGGUGUUGGAGAAUUGUGGUGUCCAGGUGUUGGGAGACGGGGCGUCACGAUGUCCGGGUGUUGGAGGACUGCGGUGUCCAGGUGUUGGAGGACUGCGGUGUCCGGGUGUUGGGAGACAGGGUGUCAGGAUGUGUGGGUGUUAGAGAAUUGUGGUGUCCAGGUGUUGGGGGACUGGGGUGUCCGAGUGUUGGGAGACAGGCGGUCAGGAUGUCCAGGUGUUGGGGACUGUGUCCGAGUGUUGAGAGACAUGGUGUCAGGAUGUCUGGGUGUUGGAGAAUUGUGGUGUCCAGGUGUUGGGAGACGGGGCGUCACGAUGUCCGGGUGUUGGAGGACUGCGGUGUCCAGGUGUUGGAGGACUGCGGUGUCCGGGUGUUGGGAGACAGGGUGUCAGGAUGUGUGGGUGUUAGAGAAUUGUGGUGUCCAGGUGUUGGGGGACUGGGGUGUCCGAGUGUUGGGAGACAGGCGGUCAGGAUGUCCAGGUGUUGGGGACUGUGUCCGAGUGUUCACCGUGGGCGCCGUGAUGCCCCCGCGGGCACCAGGACACCGCCGCAGGCGCUGUGGUGUCACCGCAGUGGCUGUGACAGCGCUGCGGGCGCCACGACAGUGCCACGGUAGCUAUGACCUCACCGUGGUCGCUGUGACAUCACCGCUGUGACAUCACGCUGUGGUCACCGUGAUGACGCUGCAGCCACCAUGACCUCACUGUGGUUGCCAUGACGUUGGCGCAGUCACUGUGACCUCGCCACGGUCACUGUGACAUCACCGUGGUCACCGUGACAGUGCUGCAGUCACCAUGAGCUCACCGCGGUUGCCAUGACAUCACUGUGGUCAC